rnacentral:miRNA from 1 species
GAUAUCGACAGGCGUUAACAAUGUUGUGCGGCCAACUAUGAACAAGUUGUCAACCAUGUUGUUCCAAGUUGUUACAGUUGAACAAUGCUGCAACAACAUGUUGACAAUACUGUUCAUAGUGGGCCGCACAACCUUGUUCACGCCUGUCGAUAUC